rnacentral:rRNA from 1 species
AUUGAACGCUGGCGGCAUGCCUUACACAUGCAAGUCGAACGGUAACAGGUCUUCGGAUGCUGACGAGUGGCGAACGGGUGAGUAAUACAUCGGAACGUGCCCGAUCGUGGGGGAUAACGGAGCGAAAGCUUUGCUAAUACCGCAUACGAUCUAUGGAUGAAAGCGGGGGAUCGCAAGACCUCGCGCGAUUGGAGCGGCCGAUAUCAGAUUAGCUAGUUGGUGGGGUAAAGGCUCACCAAGGCGACGAUCUGUAGCUGGUCUGAGAGGACGACCAGCCACACUGGAACUGAGACACGGUCCAGACUCCUACGGGAGGCAGCAGUGGGGAAUUUUGGGACAAUGGGCGCAAGCCUGAUCCAGCAAUGCCGCGUGCAGGAUGAAGGCCCUCGGGUUGUAAACUGCUUUUGUACGGAACGAAACGGUCUGAGUUAAUACCUCGGGCUAAUGACGGUACCGUAAGAAUAAGCACCGGCUAACUACGU